GUCCCCUCUUUAACAGCCAUGGAAAGGCGAAAAUGGAGAAGUGCAGAAACAGAGGCAGGACUCCAACUAUGACACUACUGACAGACCCUGGGCACAAGGAACUCUUCACUAUUAAGAAAAACAGACAAUACAGAAAGAGCAAACUUUCUCAGAAGUAAGGAAGGUCCCACAUGGAGUAAGGUGGAUUCUUUACCACUAGCUCCACCUGGGAGAUUCUGGGCAGAACACAACGGAUGACUAAUGACCAGAGCGGUACCUGAGGAUACCACAUCUCUUCACUACACGGCACUUCGGAGAGAAAUUCUCAACUGAUAA